UGGGGAAUCUUGGACAAUGGGGGCAACCCUGAUCCAGCCAUGCCGCGUGAGUGAUGAAGGCCUUAGGGUCGUAAAGCUCUUUCGCCUGUGAAGAUAAUGACGGUAGCAGGUAAAGAAACCCCGGCUAACUCCGUGCCAGCAGCCGCGGUAAUACGGAGGGGGUUAGCGUUGUUCGGAAUUACUGGGCGUAAAGCGCACGUAGGCGGACCAGAAAGUUGGGGGUGAAAUCCCGGGGGCUCAACCCCGGAACUGCCUCCAAAACUAUUGGUCUAGAGUUCGAGAGAGGUGAGUGGAAUUCCAAGUGUAGAGGUGAAAUUCGUAGAUAUUUGGAGGAACACCAGUGGCGAAGGCGGCUCACUGGCUCGAUACUGACGCUGAGGUGCGAAAAGUGUGGGGAGCAAAACAGGAUUAGAUACCCUGGUAGUCCACACCGUAAAACGAUGAAUGCCAGUCGUCGGGUAGCAUGCUAUUCGGUGACACACCUAACGGAUUAAGCAUUCCGCCUGGGGAGUACGUCGCAAGAUUAAAACUCAAAUGAAUUG
rnacentral:rRNA from 1 species